rnacentral:rRNA from 1 species
UACGUAGGGUGCAAGCGUUAAUCGGAAUUACUGGGCGUAAAGCGUGCGCAGGCGGUGAUGUAAGACAGAUGUGAAAUCCCCGGGCUCAACCUGGGAACUGCAUUUGUGACUGCAUCGCUGGAGUGCGGCAGAGGGGGAUGGAAUUCCGCGUGUAGCAGUGAAAUACGUAGAUAUGCGGAGGAACACCGAUGGCGAAGGCAAUCCCCUGGGCCUGCACUGACGCUCAUGCACGAAAGCGUGGGGAGCAAACAGG